rnacentral:rRNA from 1 species
ACCGUGGUAAUUCUAGAGCUAAUACAUGCUUAAACGCCCGACUUUAUGGAAGGGUGGUAUUUAUUAGACUGAAGCCAAUAUUCCUUGUGUCUAUUGCGGUGAUUCAUAAUAACUGAUCGAAUCUCUUUUUGAGAUAAAUCAUUCAAGUUUCUGCCCUAUCAGCUUUCGAUGGUAGUGUAUUGGACUACCAUGGCAGUAACGGGUAACGAAGAAUUAGGGUUCGAUUUCGGAGAGGGAGCAUGAGAAACGGCUACCAGAUCUAAGGAAGGCAGCAGGCGCGUAAAUUACCCAAUCCUGACUCAGGGAGGUAGUGACAAGAAAUAGCAAACCGGGAACCUCAUGGUUUCACGGUAUUGCAAUGAGAACAAUUUAAAACCCUUAGCGAGAAUCAGGUGGAGGACAAGUCUGGUGCCAGCACCCGCGGUAAUUCCAGCUCCACUAGCGUAUAUUAAAGUUGUUGCAGUUAAAAAGCUCGUAGUUGAACCUCUGUCUGGGGCUAGUUUUGGCUUUGGUCAGGCUAGUUCUAGGCAUCCGCCUACAAGACUUAGAGGGCAUUCAGUUGUUCACUAGGAGGAGUAGGCAUUUUACUUUGAAAAAAUUAGAGUGUUUAAGGCAGGCAAUCGCCCGCAUAUAUUAGCAUGGAAUAAUAGAAUAGGACACUUUUCCAUUUCGUUGGUUAUUGGAAUCGUGUAAUGAUUAAUAGGGACAGUUGUGGGCAUUUGUAUUUAAUUGUCAGAGGUGAAAUUCUUGGAUUUAUUAAAGACAAACUAACGCGAAAGCAUUUGCCAAGGAUGUUUUCAUUAAUCAAGAACGAAAGUUAGGGGAUCAAAGACGAUCAGAUACCGUCCUAGUCUUAACUAUAAACUAUUCCGACUCAAUGUUUGACUGGCUUAUAUAACCAGUUGAGCGUUGUAUGAGAAAUCAAAGUCUUUAGGUUCUGGGGGGAGUAUGGUUGCAAAGCUGAAACUUAAAGGAAUUGACGGAAGAGCACAACCAGGAGUGGAUUCUGUGGCUUAAUUUGACUCAACACGGGGAAACUUACCAGGUUAAAACAAUAGUGGGAUUGACAGUUUGAGAGCGCUUUCUUGAUUGGUUGGGUGGUGGUGCAUGGCCGUUCUUAGUUGGUGGAGUGAUUUGUCUGCUUAAUUGCGUUAACGAACGAGACCUUAACCUGCUUACUAGACUGGCGAUCAUCAAUCGUUAGCUCUUCUUAGAGGGACUUUGGUUGUUUUAACUCCAAGGAAGUUUGAGGCAAUAACAGGUCUGUGA